CAAAUUUCAUCAGUAUCAAAUACUCAAACCCUUCUCAACUUUACGACGUUUAUUUUUUUAGAUUUCAUAACAUUUUGGAGACAGAGAUGGAGACAGAGGCAAUUUAGAGUUGUUGGUUUUCCGCAGAGACUCGUUCUUCAGUUGUGGAUGGGAUGUUUGUCAUCUUCAGGGAAGCUGCUUGAAGAAUCAAAAAGAUGUUACGAAAUAACUAAGAGGAGAAGCAAAAUUAUCUUUAUUCCUUAAGCUUGGAUUACCUAAUAAUUUGGUGAAUUAAAAUAGAAGCAGAAGGGAUAACCAAAUCAAACAGAAAGAGUAAAAAUGCCUUCUAGUCAUCCAUUCAGAAGGGUAUGCCUCACAAGUUAUAUCAUGGAUGCGCUGGUAUUGUCUGAAAUGUUAUCAGAGGUACUACUCUUAAAUAACAUAAAGGGACCAAACUUUGGUCCAUUGAGUGCUUUAGAAGCUGCAAAUGGAGUUGCGAUAGUGGGAAAGAGUACACAGGUUUCAUCAUCUCCUUGGUGCUAGUUUCCAUUGAGCUGGUUGAUUGUAUCGUUUUGUUUUACGAUUAUUCUUCUUAGCAACACGGACAUGAAUAGAGGUGCUUAUCUCCACUGGCGGGUGAAUAUGAGCGUUGCCAUUCUGAUGACAAUAAAGUUCAAGCAGAGUCUUGCUACUGUUGGUCUCAUCUAGUCAUCUCUUUUUUGAGGAUCUUUACUCACUCAGGUAUUACUUGAAUAUUUCUUGGACCGACAGUAUAAAUAAUGUUAGUCUAAAAUUCUUAGCUCAUAUGAAAUGUGCAGCUUCCACUUUUCCCUAAAUCCUUGGAAUGCUUAGCUCAUACGAAAUAAAGUCAAUUCCUUUAUCUUUUCAAACCAAUCAAAGUACUCCCAUCUUUUCCCUAAAUCCUUGGAAUGCGGUACUAGUACCAUUUGACCCUAUGCAAUGGAAAUAUUAAUAUGCACAUAACUGUGCACAUGUUGAUUCUUCGUGUGUACAUAAUUAUACAGUUUUUGAUUGUUAUUGUGUACAUAGUUGUACACAUGCUGAUUAUUAAUGGUACAGAACUGUAUGAUGCACCUUUGACAGUUUUGGAGAGAGAGAUUUUGGGAUACUUGUCUUUUCUUCAAAAAAUUUAUGUUCCCUCAUUUGUCAAAUCACAGUUCACAUGAAUUUAGUUUAGUAUUUAUUUUCAUAAUUUCAUUGUUUGGCUGCAAUUAUGUUGGUUAUAUGUAAAUGAUGUAUUUUACGACAUUUAAAUUGAGUCCUUAGUUUUAUCGUUUACCAUAAGAUGUUACAUAAUAACAUAUAACAGAAAUUACAUGUGUACAUAUUGGUACACAUGUAAUAUAAAGUGUACAUUUUUGUGCACGUGUGAUAAAAAUUACAUGUGUACAUAUUAGUGCACCAAUACAAGUGUACAUUGUUGUGCACUUUAUUUUUUCGACUUCUACAAGAUAAGUGCACUUAAUUGUACACCAGUUAUAUGCGGUGCUCAUAAAGUUGCACUGGUUUUUUCGUGUUGUAUAUGACUUCUAUAAGACAGGUGACUAAUGACUUCUACAAGGUCGGUGUACUUAAUUUUAUAUGCUUGCAGGCAUGUUGUUUUACUAAUUACAAUUUAGGUUGAUGAAGAAGUCGUGGGGAAGUACGAAUAUGUUUUUUUACCACUGUUCAUGAGCCCUGCCUUUGCGUUCCUCAAAUCCAUUCAUGAGACAUCUGCAACUCCAAAACUAAACAAGUAAAGUGUAAUGUCCUAGUCCUGGGAAGAGGAGUGCAUAUCCUCACAGGACUUCUCCAUCUAGGGGUGAAAUCCCUGAUAGACGCAGUCAUGGAAGUCUUAGAAAAAUGAGCCGAUCUUAGCGUGAACCUGCUCGUCUCGUAGCCCAUCACAAAAAAAAUUCUGAGGCUAAUGUUCUGAAGUUUUGGAUUUAACCAAAGGAGAUUUCCGUUAACAAAGAUUGAGAUUUUAAAACAAUCCAUAAGGUGUAUAUGCUUGUACGCCUUACUCUUGCUCUUAGAGCUUCAAUGGAGGAAGAGAGGGCAAGAAAGGACGCUACUGCAAGGGCUGCAGAAGAGAAAGGGGGUGGACAGGCUUCAAGUUCACAUGUUACAACGAUGACUGAAAACGCUGGCAUUAUGUCUGAUGGAACUAAUACAGGCGAUUUGAUGGCAGGUCUCAUGCUUAUUACUGGUUGUCGUGGGGUUGAAUCUGUGGUUAGAAACAGGAUGCAGUUUAUGAUUGUACAUGAAUUAGAAAAUGUGGUUUUUUACAAUGAAGGAAAUAUGUGUUUGGUUUGGUUAGAGUUUAUGCCUGCUCGAGCCUGAAAGAAGAUGGUGUUACUAAUUGUUGAUUUGAUGAAUAUGAGAUGGAGACAGUACUGUUACUUUGUGUGAUUUAGAGUGCAGUGAGUAAGCUGAUAA